rnacentral:tRNA from 1 species
GCGGCAGUAGUCUAACGGCUAGGAUUUUACCCUCCCACGGUGAAGGUCCGGGUUCGAAUCCCGGCUGCCGCA